AUGUUUACGGAGAACCACGUGACCACUGUCGAUGCACGACUCAUCGGUAUUGCACGAGAGAUAGCUGACGCACAUUGCCCUGCGGAUAUUCUACAGAGGAGUUUUGGUUCUGCUGUGUUAGCGGCUACGUACAGAGGCCUGUGCAAAGCUUGCUUGUUGAAGUCUAGAAAAUCUAGUCUUGUUGGAUGUCCAUUAUUGUUGCAGCUUUGGUCAUACGAGAGGUUCCCUAUUGGACGACCCUAUGUCUACAUUGAUAAACCUUUUGGUUUGGAGGACUUAGCUGGGACUUAUGUGCCUGCUAUCGGCGACUUACCUACUAUGAGAUCUGUUUGGACACGGCGAGAGAGACAGUUUGCGCAUACUCAGGUUAGGGGAUGCUACCCGUCCUUGAUGGCGCAGUUUGAUAGUUUGCACGAGGAUCAAGUUAUUUGGGAGCCAUACUCGCCUCAGGCUAUAUCAUCGAGGUACCCAGUUGGGAUUUCUGGAUUGUGCACUAGAGAUCGGCACUUUUGGAUGACCAAGGCCAAGUUGGUGUUCGACGUGACGGUUGAGGAGAUGUCUCUUCAUAGGGUGAUGAGACAGUUCGGUGUAUAUCAAGAGCCUGCGAUUCCAGAUAUUCCACACUUGCCAGACCACGUGCACAAGGACAGUCGCCUACGAGGAAACAAGUCCAUGACUUAUUGGCUUGAGAGCAUUACCCCUUACGUUGACGAAUGGACUACCGCUGCGACAAAUAUCUGGGGUGAGGUUCGGCCCUUUAACUGGGAAAUGUUUGGGUUAUAUCUGCAGCGUUACCGGCAUACAACGAGGAUCUACUUGGUUCCAUCAGCUGCUACUGAUCAGAUCGAAGCCCCUCUCACCAGCGAUAUGUACCCAACUGCCUCUGUUGUGGGAACCAGACACCACGCGGGUGACUUGACAGUACAGGCGCGAGAGGAGGUUUCCGCUUUAAUGCAGCGCUUUCAGAGGGGAGAAACUAUCCCACCGCGAGAGGGCGUCUCAUGGUUGAGGCGUCUUGAUGACAAGCUACGCGGGAUUUACGCAGUUGUUACGUGUAGACGGACUUCGGAUGUUGCACUUCCUCCUCCAGCACAUCGUCCGCCACGUCCCUCUGUACAACAUUCAGAACCACGACCCUAUGUGCACCGUUCAGAACCACGACCCUCUAUGCACCAUGCAGAAUCUCAUCUUCACAGCCAGGGAGCUCUUCCUGGCAUGAGCCACCUCCUUCACAGCCAGGGAGCUCUUCCUGGCAUGAGCCACCUCCUUCACAGCCAGGGAGCUCUUCCUGACAUGAGCCACCUCCUUCACAGCUAG
rnacentral:rRNA from 1 species